GACGAACGCUGGCGGCGUGCCUAAUACAUGCAAGUAGGACGCAGUUGCGAACGGGUGAGUAACGCGUCGGUAACUGCCUAUUAGAGGGGGAUAACUAUUGGAAACGAUAGCUAAUACCGCAUACUAGUAGAUGGACCUGCGUUUUAUUAGCUAGUAGGGUGGGUAAUGGCCUACCUAGGCGACGAUACAUAGCCGAACGGAGAGGGGGAAUGGCCAAACUGGGACUGGGAAACGGACCAGAAUGCGACGGGAGGCAGCAGUAGGGAAUCUUCGGCAAUGGGGGGAACCGUGACCGAGCAACGCCGCGGGAGGGAAGAAGGUUUUCGGAUCGGAAAGCUCUGUUGUUAAGGAAGCGGUACUUAACCAGAAAGGGACGGCUAACUACGUGCCAGCAGCCGCGGUAAUUC
rnacentral:rRNA from 1 species